rnacentral:lncRNA from 1 species
GAUUGACAUAAUGAAAUGCAAUAUGAAAUGCUAAAUGAAUGCAUGAAUGAGGAGGGCAAAUUUUGGGGUGUUACACUCAUGAAAUAUACCACACACAAAAAGAAUAUGCAAAAGUGGUGGCCUAAUCUCAUUCAUACUUAUGUUGAUUUUGUAACCAAUUAGCCUUAGGAUGUAGAGAUAUCAUAGGUCCAUGACAUGAAUGCAUAAAGAAG